AGUGAACGCUGGCGGCGUGCUUAACACAUGCAAGUCGAACGAGAACGGAUUAUAGCUUGCUAUAAUUGUCAGCUAAGUGGCGCACGGGUGAGUAAUGUAUAGGCAAUAUGCCUCUUACUAAGGGAUAACAAAUGGAAACGUUUGCUAAUACCUUAUACUCCUUAUUAACAGAAGUUAAUAAGGGAAAGAUUUAUUGGUAAGAGAUUAGCCUGUAUUGUAUCAGUUAGUUGGUGGGGUAAUGGCUUACCAAGACUAUGACACAUAACUGGUUUGAGAGGAUGAUCAGUCACACUGGGACUGAGACAAGGUCCAGACUCCUACGGGAGGCAGCAGUGGGGAAUAUUGCACAAUGGACGAAAGUCUGAUGCAGCAACGCCGCGUGGAGGAUGACACAUUUCGGUGCGUAAACUCCUUUUAUAUGAGAAGAUAAUGACGGUAUUAUAUGAAUAAGCACCGGCUAACUCCGUGCCAGCCGCCGCCGUAAGAC
rnacentral:rRNA from 1 species